UACGGGGGGGGCAAGCGUUGUUCGGAAUUACUGGGCGUAAAGGGCUCGUAGGCGGCCAACUAAGUCAGACGUGAAAUCCCUCAGCUUAACUGGGGAACUGCGUCUGAUACUGGAUGGCUUGGAUUCGGGAGAGGAAUGCGGAAUUCCAGGUGUAGCGGUGAAAUGCGUAGAUAUCUGGAGGAAUACCGGUGGCGAAGGCGGCAUCCUGGACCGGCAUUGACGCUGAGUGAGCGAAAGCCAGGGGAGCAAACAGG
rnacentral:rRNA from 1 species